rnacentral:rRNA from 1 species
GACGAACGCUGGCGGCGUGCUUAACACAUGCAAGUCGAACGGAAAGGCCCUGCUUUUGUGGGAUGCUCGAGUGGCGAACGGGUGAGUAACACGUGAGUAACCUGCCCUUGACUUUGGGAUAACUUCAGGAAACUGGGGCUAAUACCGGAUAGGAGCUCCUGCUGCAUGGUGGGGGUUGGAAAGUUUGGGCGGUUGGGGAUGGACUCGCGGCUUAUCGGCUUGUUGGUGGGGGAGUGGCUUACCAAGGCUUUGACGGGUAGCCGGCAUGAGAAGGGGGCCAGGGACAUUGGGACUGAGAUACGGCCCAGAGUGCUACGGGGGGCAGCAGGGGGGAAUAUGGCACAGUGGGCCGAAGCGUGAUGCAGCGACGCCGGGUGCGGGAUGACGGCCUUCGGGUUGUAAACCGCUUUCGCCUGUGACGAAGCGUGAGUGACGGUAAUGGGUAAAGAAGCACCGGCCAACUACGUG